rnacentral:rRNA from 1 species
UACAGAGGGGGCAAGCGUUAUUCGGAAUUACUGGGCGUAAAGGGCUCGUAGGUGGCCAACUAAGUCAGACGUGAAAUCCCUCAGCUUAACUGGGGAACUGCGUCUGAUACUGGAUGGCUUGAGUUUGGGAGAGGGAUGCGGAAUUCCAGGUGUAGCGGUGAAAUGCGUAGAUAUCUGGAGGAACACCGGUGGCGAAGGCGGCAUCCUGGACCAACACUGACACUGAGGAGCGAAAGCCAGGGGAGCAAACGGG